AGAUAGAGGGCAUGCUUGAUCAUCUUCGCCAUCGGCCCGCCACCACCAUCACUGCAUCGCCACAUCGCGCUUCUCCGUCUCCGCGCCAGCGAGUUCCUUGUUUGUUCAUUUAGCACUUCCUUUGGUGCGCGUACACAUCAGUGCCAUUCCCCGUCCUGCCCACCCACCAUCACCCCACACGGCCCUCAUUGCUGCAGCUCCACUCCCAUCCCCCUCUCCUUUCCUCCCUCACGCUGUUAAACACACGCCUCUUUUUUCACCGCUACAGCUCCCUCAUCAUGCUCAGCCAGACCGGAGGGGCAGUCGCCGUCAACGAGAUCUCGCAGCAGCACUCGACCGAGCAAGCGAUGGCUGCCAAAGAAAUGGCAGCGGAGAACCAGGUGCACGUGACGCUGCCCGAGGAGGUGAGGGAGCGCCGCCGCUCUCGUCAAUCGUCGCAGGCGCGUAACGGGUCCCACGAGGCACUGAUCAUUUCCUACGGUGAGGCGGCGCCGAAGCAGACGGUCUCGCGCGUGUUGGUGCGGAUGCCGAAUGAGGUACGCCGCAGGCGAAGCCUCUCUCGCGAGGCCCGCAAGAGCCAUACCCACACGCAGCUGGAGGAGAGCGAGAUGCCGAACGCCACCCCUAAAGCCAUGCCCGAAGCCGCCGCUAUGUCGACUGCCGAAGAUGGUCGUGUUAGCCCGGAGAAGCAGUGUCCAGAGCCGGAGCUGCCCGCCAACGGCUUGGCCAUGCAGCCCGCUGUCGAGGAGGCAGUCGAUCAUGAGCCGCCGACAGAACCCUCACCCGCGGCCGAAGAGGCCGAGAGAUCCGGGAGGCUCACCGACGCGGCCUCUCGGGUGGAAAUGGAGUUGACAGGGCGAGACUCCGCUGCUGUCAUCGAGGAGGCUAACCAGGAAAUGGAGGAUAAUGCGGCGCCUCACGAGAACAAUGAUGCGCACCCGAUGAUCAAGGGCAAGGAGAAGGAUAAGCACGGAUGCUGCAUAGUGAUGUAAGUCACCGUGCCCCUCUCUGGUACGCCUCUCCCUUCGCGAGCGCUCCGCCACCACGACCACUUCCAGAGCUACACAGGCACGUGGAAACAGUUCGUAUCGCACAUGAGCACAAGCGCUCGGCGCUUCGCCCUUCUCCUCUUCCUCCCCGGUGCCCCGUCCCUCUUAUUGUUUGUUGUGGUGCGCGCGUGCUGCACCACUACCGCAUUUCUGCGCGCGCCUCUCCUUUCUUCUUGUCGGUACGCAUACGGUGUCGUCGGCACCGCCCACCGCAGGGGCAGGGCACCGCAGCGAGAGAGCAGGCACGCGCAAACACACAGCUGUACGUCUCCGGUCAUUCACACGCCUCCUUUCGUUUUCCUUUGUUUCUCUUCCUCUGCGUAGCGAAACCCCACCCCACCCCACCACACUGCACUCCUCCCUUUUCCCCUUUCUGACUCUUUCUCUCCCUUCCGUGUCCCAUUCACCACCACCUCCUCCCCUAGCUUCCCCCCCCCCCACGUUCCGAUUUAAGCUCCCGCUCGUUGCUCCACCGCCGCCCUCCCCACCCACUCCUUAAUGACUCCAAUGUGUGUGCUCCUCCAUUUUCUCCGCCCCCCCCUCCCUGUCUAGAGCAUGCGUAUGUGCGUAUGGACGUCGUCGCUGGCCGUGCUGCGCCUUUAUCCCCACCCUUUGUGUGUGUCUGUGCCUUUUGCUUGGGGCCCAUUGUCGGAUCCGUUUAUCCGCAUCAUGGACCAAGUCAGAGGGUGCGGUCCCCCUCCACUGUCCCCCAGCCCUCUGCCUUCCGUAGAUUUGCGUUGUUUCGUUUGAAUUGGGGUGCGUGGGCUCGUAGGGGGCUCGUGUGGCUGUGUGUAUGGCCUUCACUGUUUUGCCCUCGCAUCUCCGCAUCACUGUCGUGUUGGUGCGGUUUCCCUUGCCCCUUUUAUUCCCCUUCACCCUUUCCUCUCCCCCUGGACGAAGUAGUGCGGCCGGCUAGCUGGCGUGUGCACACAUGCCAUGCGCCAUUCGAACAGACCCAGUGAUGAGAGAAAGCGAGGGGAAAAGCGGGUGGCGUAUUCUUUACUAUACGGUACGCUGCAGCGGGGCCGUUUUAGCCGCCUUGCGGCUCUGUCAUUGACGUCGCACUCCCCCAUCCCCUCCCCCGUCUUCCUGUUUUCGCGCACUGCUGUGAGCCUGCACGGAGCGUUUUGGUGGUGUUUGGGGUCUUCCCCCUCCCCCUCCCCCCUCCCCCUCCCCUUCCUCGCUUUCGUCCGUCUCGUGGUGUGCUGCGGGAGUGUCGGUGUCUCUGUGAGCACGUGUGAAGUUGCAUCGCCGAUAUAUUGUAUCUGCGCUCUCUUCUUCUUCUCUUCUCUCUCUGAGGAUUGCUUCCUCUUUUAGUCAUUGUGUGCAGCCACCUGGGGCUUGUUGAGAUGAAGGUGCUAGCCUGGCUCUGGAAAGGGAGCGUGGUAGUUUGCUUACGGCUUCUCCUCUGGCGCGCGAGGAAUGGUGCCGCAGUGGUGGUGCGUCCGUGCACGUGUGCCUCUGUGUGCACGCAAAUUGCAUAGGUGCCCUUUAUAUUUCUGUGCAGGCAUGGAAGGAAAGGAAACCCGCCUUGUCUGAAAAGAAUCGAAAUUGCGUGUGUGAAAGCAAGCACGGAUUUAAGUAAUGCACCCCUCGCGCCUGCUCGAGGAGAAUGCGAUGCGUGUUCGGGUGGGCAGCGCGCCCCCCUCAUAGUCGCCUCUCGCAAGAGACCCCUCGCGCGUGUCCCUGUUGCAACUCUCUCGCCUCUUCCCACGUGCCCGCUUGCGUGCACACGUAUGCUGAGUGGUCGUGUACCUGUAAUGCAGCCUUCCAUCUGUGGUGUAACUAUGAUUUUCGCCUUUGUUGCUUUCCUUUUCCGGAUCUGGGACGGCGAAUCCUCACGUGCGCAG
rnacentral:misc_RNA from 1 species